UUGAACGCUGGCGGCAUGCCUUACACAUGCAAGUCGAACGGUAACGGGCCUUCGGGUGCCGACGAGUGGCGAACGGGUGAGUAAUACAUCGGAACGUGCCCGAUCGUGGGGGAUAACGAGGCGAAAGCUUUGCUAAUACCGCAUACGAUCUACGGAUGAAAGCAGGGGACCGCAAGGCCUUGCGCGGACGGAGCGGCCGAUGGCAGAUUAGGUAGUUGGUGGGAUAAAAGCUUACCAAGCCGACGAUCUGUAGCUGGUCUGAGAGGAUGAUCAGCCACACUGGGACUGAGACACGGCCCAGACUCCUACGGGAGGCAGCAGUGGGGAAUUUUGGACAAAGGGCGCAAGCCUGAUCCAGCCAUGCCGCGUGCAGGAUGGAGGCCUUCGGGUUGUAAACUGCUUUUGUACGGAACGAAAAGCCUUCUUUUAAUACAGGAGGGUCAUGACGGUACCGUAAGAAUAAGCACCGGCUAACUACGUG
rnacentral:rRNA from 1 species